rnacentral:lncRNA from 1 species
AUUGAUUUAAUUAAACUGCAAUCCAAUUGUAAUUAUUCCUUCUUCUACUCACUAACUCUUAGUGAGUUAAAACAAUUAUCAAUCAAAUUGAUAAUUAUAAAUUAUUUGUGAUUCCAAAUCACAAUUCAACCAUCGGAUCGGUCAAUACCUCUAAUGUGUGUGACCCCAUAGGUUCUAUUCUGUCUGAUAGUGAGAUAUAUUAUGAUCCCUAUCAUAAUAUCAUUGAAACUUCUUUCAAUGGGUUGGAACAAUUUCCACUCUUCUCAUUCGGAUUCACUGAUGAUCAAGUGAAUGCCUCUGAGUCUCACAAUCCACUAGUGACACCUAGCAGCAUGUAGUGGCAACCCAGCAGAAUGGAAUA